AGCAGUGGGAGCACAGAGCAAUCUGUGUGACUGCGUACCUUUUGUAUAAUGGGUCAGCGACUUAUAUUCUGUAGCAAGGUUAACCGAAUAGGGGAGCCGAAGGGAAACCGAGUCUUAACUGGGCGUUAAGUUCCAGACCGCUAACGACGCAUGUGCCAUACGCCGUGUUACAACCAAAUU
rnacentral:rRNA from 1 species